CCUACGGGAGGCAGCAGUGAGGAAUAUUGGUCAAUGGGCGUAAGCCUGAACCAGCCAAGUCGCGUGAGGGAUGAAGGUUCUAUGGAUCGUAAACCUCUUUUAUAAGGGAAUAAAGUGUGGGACGUGUCCUGUUUUGUAUGUACCUUAUGAAUAAGGAUCGGCUAACUCCGUGCCAGCAGCCGCGGUAAUACGGAGGAUCCGAGCGUUAUCCGGAUUUAUUGGGUUUAAAGGGUGCGUAGGCGGCCUUUUAAGUCAGCGGUGAAAGUCUGUGGCUCAACCAUGGAAUUGCCGUUGAAACUGGGAGGCUUGAGUAUGUUUGAGGCAGGCGGAAUGCGUGGUGUAGCGGUGAAAUGCUUAGAUAUCACGCAGAACCCCGAUUGCGAAGGCAGCCUGCCAGGCCAUGACUGACGCUGAUGCACGAAAGCGUGGGGAUCAAACAGGAUUAGAUACCCCGGUAGUC
rnacentral:rRNA from 1 species